AUGAACGCUGGCGGCGUGCUUAACACAUGCAAGUCGAACGGAAAGGCCGAAGCUUGCUUCGGUACUCGAGUGGCGAACGGGUGAGUAACACGUGGGUGAUCUGCCCUGUACUUCGGGAUAAGCUUGGGAAACUGGGUCUAAUACCGGAUAUGACAAUCUCUUGGAUGGGGUUGUGGAAAGCUUUUGCGGUAUGGGAUGAGCUCGCGGCCUAUCAGCUUGUUGGUGGGGUAAUGGCCUACCAAGGCGUCGACGGGUAGCCGGCCUGAGAGGGUGUACGGCCACAUUGGGACUGAGAUACGGCCCAGACUCCUACGGGAGGCAGCAGUGGGGAAUAUUGCACAAUGGGCGCAAGACUGAUGCAGCGACGCCGCGUGGGGGAUGACGGCCUUCGGGUUGUAAACUCCUUUCGCAACCGACGAAGCUUUUGUGACGGUAGGUUGAGAAGAAGCACCGGCUAACUACGUG
rnacentral:rRNA from 1 species